rfam:Myotis lucifugus cont2.12733, whole genome shotgun sequence.
GGCAGUUCUCAGGUGACACACCCCAGAACCUGGCUCCCUUCUCUCUGGUUCCAGAUGUGUCACCUGAGAACUGCA